rnacentral:tRNA from 1 species
GAGCAAGAAUGGUGCAGUGGUUUGAGCACUGGACUAUGACCCUGGAGAUCAGGGUUUGAAUCCCUGCUUGGCCA